UAUUUCUCGGGGAGGCAGCAGUGGGGAAUAUUGCACAAAGGGCGCAAGCCUGAUGCAGCGGACGCCGCGUGAGGGAGACGGCCCUUCGGGUUGUAAACUUCUUUCAGCAGGGAAGAAGCGAAAGUGACGGUACCUGCAGAAGAAGCGCCGGCUAACUACGUGCCAGCAGCCGCGGUAAUACGUAGGGCGCGAGCGUUGUCCGGAAUUAUUGGGCGUAAAGAGCUCGUAGGCGGCUUGUCGCGUCGGUUGUGAAAGCCCGGGGCUUAACCCCGGGUCUGCAGUCGAUACGGGCAGGCUAGAGUUCGGUAGGGGAGAUCGGAAUUCCUGGUGUAGCGGUGAAAUGCGCAGAUAUCAGGAGGAACCACCGGUGGCGAAGGCGGAUCUCUGGGCCGAUACUGACGCUGAGGAGCGAAAGCGUGGGGAGCGAACAGGAUUAGAUACCCUGGUAGUCCACGCCGUAAACGGUGGGCACUAGGUGUGGGCGACAUUCCACGUCGUCCGUGCCGCAGCUAACGCAUUAAGUGCCCCGCCUGGGGAGUACGGCCGCAAGGCUAAAACUCAAAGGAAUUGACGGGGGCCCGCACAAGCGGCGGAGCAUGUGGCUUAAUUCGACGCAACGCGAAGAACCUUACCAAGGCUUGACAUACACCGGAAAACCCCUGAGAGCAGGUG
rnacentral:rRNA from 1 species